UAAAAUAUUAUUAAAACAAAAAUAACAAAAUAAUGUCUAAUUUUACUGAACGGGGUUAGUGGUAGGACGAGUUUGGUCGAUAGUAUUACGAGACGGUAUACCACAAGUGAAAUCCAUUAGAUAUGUUUAAUUUCACUGUGGAGGAUUAGAUGGUAUGACGGGUUUUGAUCGAUAAUAAUACGAAACGAUAUACUACGGAUAAAAUCCUAGAUAUAACAAUUAAAAUCUAUAUACACAUUAUUUUAAACACUAAACAAAGCAAACAAUAUUAAUAAAACGAAUAUCUACAUAUAUAUUUUAUUCCGCGGGUCAAAAUCUAGUAGCUGGAUGAAAUGGUGUUUAUAUA
rnacentral:sRNA from 1 species